AGGUGCCACUUUUGAGCGCGCCUCGCGUGCUUGGAGCAGCACCGGGAGCUCCAGCACGGCCCACCCGCAGCAGCUCGCUCCCCUCUCCUGUCUGCGGACGCCCCAGCCCCCGCGGGCGCACGGAGCCGCGCUCCCAGCCGGGUUUGUCAGCCCCGGCUCCGCGGGCCCCGGGGCAGCGACACCUUCCCGGCCCAAGGGCCGCUCCAGGCACACCCGUGCAGAACAGCCCCAGCAGGAGCAGGAGAAGGAGCAGGAGCAGGAGCAGGAGCAGGAGCAGGAGCAGGAGCAGGAGCAGGAGCAGAAACUCCAAGGUCAGAAUCAGAGGAGCUCCCAGCGCACACACAGGCAGUGAUUCAACCCUUCAGCACCCAGCACGGCCCCGCGCCCUCGCCUCGGGCUCCUGGCGCUUCCCACAGCCCUCUUGUCAUCUCUUCACAACAGCGAGAGGUUUUCUUGUUUAAUUCUUUUUAUUGUUUAUUGUUUAAUAUCAGUUUUUGGGCUGGGGAAUGCUCUGCCUGUUAAAUAAACGCAUUUUCCCACUUUUCUCCAAGGAAA